rnacentral:rRNA from 1 species
AUUGAACGCUGGCGGCAUGCUUUACACAUGCAAGUCGAACGGUAACAGGCCGCAAGGUGCUGACGAGUGGCGAACGGGUGAGUAAUGCAUCGGAACGUGCCCAGUCGUGGGGGAUAACGCAGCGAAAGCUGUGCUAAUACCGCAUACGAUCUGUGGAUGAAAGCGGGGGACCGUAAGGCCUCGCGCGAUUGGAGCGGCCGAUGUCAGAUUAGGUAGUUGGUGGGGUAAAGGCUCACCAAGCCGACGAUCUGUAGCUGGUCUGAGAGGACGACCAGCCACACUGGGACUGAGACACGGCCCAGACUCCUACGGGAGGCAGCAGUGGGGAAUUUUGGACAAUGGGCGCAAGCCUGAUCCAGCAAUGCCGCGUGCAGGAAGAAGGCCUUCGGGUUGUAAACUGCUUUUGUACGGAGCGAAAAGGCUCUCUCUAAUACAGGGGGCUCAUGACGGUACCGUAAGAAUAAGCACCGGCUAACUUCGUGCCAGCCGCCGCAGUAAGAC